CAGAUAUAACUUAAUGACUAGGUUUGUGAUUCACCUUCCAAAGAUGUUUGUUUACUUCUCCAAGAGCCACUUUUGUUCUAGGCCAAGUUUGGCUCAAACGGGAAAUAGUCACUAAGAUUUUACACGCGAUGUUACAAGCUUCCCCAAUCUCUUUCCAAUUUGAAGCAAUCCAAGGGGAGAAAUAUUUAUGAUUCUAUUUUGUCUCGGGACCUUAUCCUUUGACCAUUACUAUUCAAGAUUUAUAGCACCACCAGUACUGACGCAAGACCUUUCUGAAAGAUUCUACCCAAAGCCCCAUGAAUCAGGAAGUUUUCCAGUCUGGCUGAAGGAACAGGCACUGUCCCCAGCCCUGUGUGGGUUCCAGGCACCGUUUCCUUUAAUGUUUUGGGUGGUUCUUUCCCAGCCUAAGGUGGCUUCCUUACACCCAGGGGCUCGGUAUCGAGGGGACUCUCUGCCGAUCUCCGGGACAUCCACAUGCUAUUCUCUGCUCUCUGGUACUCUAUUCGGCAAACUAGCUAAUUUUGGGUCCUGUGGAUCACAGCUCCAUUUCCCCCACUCAGAGAGUCCAGGAAGUUUUGUCCACCUUCUUCCUCCCAUGGCUGCUUCCUACAACCUGCUUUGUAGAGUUUUUCAGAAACCACCCCAGAAACAGAAGCUCUGAACUUGAAAGUUGGAAGGAAGCUUCAAGGUUAACCUGUCUUGCCCUCUGAGGAGCUUGAAGACAUACUGUGCUACCAGGGGAACCCUUUCCGCGAUAACUUGUGCACUGGACAAGGCCGGACUGAUAGAAGCGUGAAAUCAACAUGACAGCUACCACUUACUGAGUUCUGUGUGCAUUUCCGCCUCUACCUGCUGUACUAAUUCCUUCAACAAGCAUUACGGAACCAAGUCCGUCAUGGGCUAAGUCAAAUGCUGGCACCUGCUUGCUUUAAAACCCUUUAAAAACUGUCUAAAAAUGAUCUGCUACACUUGGAACAAAAUCCACAUUUCUAACCAGGUCCUAACAGUUCUACGUGAUCUGACCCUGCUGCAAACUAAUUUUCUCCCCCCUCCUGCUUUCUACACUUCAGCAACACUAUCCUUUCUGACUCUUGAAUGUAUAAACUCUUUCCUGCCCCAGGACCUUUGCACUUGCUGUCCCCUCCUCCCUGGGAUAAUCUUCUACGGAAUUUUUGUAUACCUGACUCGGUCUCAUUUUUUAAGUCUUCCUCGAGUGUUAAUUACUUAAAGAGACCCUCUCUGAGCAUCCACAGCUGCUCACAGAUUUGACAGAUGCUGUACUAUUAGGAACCAUCAUUAUUUCCAUUUUACAGAUGACAAAACGGAGGUUGAGAAAAGUGAUAGAGCCUCCAAGACCCCACAGCUUGGUGGCAUUGCAGUUGAAUCUGAAGAGAAACCCGAAGCUCAGAGAAGAUAGGAAUUUGCUUGGGAUCUCACAGCAAGGAAGUGGCUGAGCAUGGAUAUAAUUUAUGAUUUGCCUGAUGCUAGAACUUUCCUCUUGUAUACACAAUGGAAUACUAUUCGG